GUCUUCUUUGUCUAGGGGAGCGAUAUGUGUCAAUGAUCGUUUAGUGAGACCAUACUUGCUGACACCCAUAUUUUUAAUUCGCACCCAAAUAUACUCUUGUUUGAGUGCAAUUUUUGGACGC
rnacentral:ncRNA from 1 species